UUCUAUCAGACAACCAAGUAACAUCUGAGGGAGCUAUGAGGUUGCUUUCAUGGGGCAGGGCUUCCCUCCCUCCGUCGUGGUAAUUGGCCUCAGCCAGCACUGCUCCUUGGUCCUCUGCACUCCAAUCAUCUGCAGGGGUCAGCCGUUUGAUAGAGAGUCUGGCAGUACCAAGUGGCAGAUCCCUGGUGACGGGAAACCCAAGAGAGGAGUUGAACCAAUAAAGGGGGCUUCAUGUGGCCAAGAACUGGCCCAGCUGGUUGGACAGAGGACCUUGGUGAGAAGACAGAACUGUUGGGGGAGGCAGAGCGACAGAGUGAGGUUGCUAAGCUGGAGGACGUGGAAGAACAGUGUUGAGCAGGUGAGCAGGAAUAUCCUGGUGAGUAGAGGUGGAGAGGUGAUGAGGGGCUUGGGCCUCAGGUGUCAGUGGCCAAAAUUGUGCCACACCCAAGUCAGCUAUGUAGGACUCAAGGUCAGUCCAUCAGGUCAGAAUUAGAACCCAACUCUGGGGCAGAAGAACCACAGCACUGGGGUCUCAGAAGGAAGAUGCAAACACAGAGAUGAACACAUAGGCUUGGAGAGGCAGGCCGCCCCUGGACUGCCCUCCGGCCAGUCUGGGCUGCACAAGGAAGUUCCUCCCUGCUGGCCCAACGAGCGUGCUCCCAGCCAUAUAAUUUGUGGGACCUAGUGAGGAAUCAAAAUGUGAGGCUCCUUGUUCAAAAAGCAGGAAAAAUUGAAACUAAAUGUGCUAAAAUAUAAAGCUUUUUCCUCUCUUCUAUGGUCUCUCUUACAACUUGUCAUGGUGAUUUUUAUUUGUUAUUUAAUGUCAUUCUAGGUAAAGAUAAAUUGAAAUUUUAGAUUGGUAGCAUGAAUUUUACUGUUCAACUUUAUAUUGUGCAAUGUCCAUUUUAAAUGCAAAUGUAAGAACAUUCUACUCAUAUGUAGAAUCACUGAAAUUACACAAUUUGUAUUUCAUAUAAAACACAUGCAUAUGUAUUUUGUUCUGACCAGAACAGUGGAAACAUUGCACAAAACUAACUCAGCUGUUUUUAUUUCACUUCUUGAUAUGUGCAUGUUCUACCAACACUCUCUACCUUUGCCUACUGAGGAGUAAGAAGGACUGCAAGGAAGGGAACUAUGGGUUGCUCUGUCUUUUCUCGUACAUCAUCAUUUUCAAUGGAAGUGGUUGGAAGUACCCGGCAGGAACACAAGCAAGUCACCUCAGGUUGGCUGUGUCCUUCCACCAAAGGACGAGUCUACAGGGUUCUCUCCUUCUGGAUCCAGUAAUUAUUCCCUCCCCUCAGCCAAGAAAUGAAGGAACCAAAUAUUUCCUCUCUGCUCCCUACGAACAAACACUUGGGUACAUGAAGCCAAUUUUGCCAUUGGACGUUCUUGUCUCGGACUGGAACCUGAGAGGAAUAUGGAUCUGAAGCUGUGAGUGACAGAGAUUACACACAGUGGAAUGAGAUGGCAGAAUUGCAAGUGCAGUGGCAGUGGUCACCAUGGGAGUAGAAACAGUGGCACUGGUGAGUACCUCAUGCAGGUGGCCCCAGCUGCUGCCCUGGCUGACUGUGUCUUUGCUCUUUGCUACCAAGUCUCUUGUGGUUCCUGCCUGUAUUCUAAGCCUGGUUCUUCAGCCUCCCUGUAACAUCUUUGUGAAUUGAUCCUUUUAUAAUUAUGAAAUGUCCCUCUUUAUAUCUUGAAAUAUUCUUUGUUCUGAAAUCUACCUUGUCUGAUAUUGAUAUGGUUACUCUAGCUUUUCUUGUGGGGAGGUGAGGGAAAUAUUUGUUAACUUUAUUGUGGUGAUGGUUUCUUGGGUGUAUGCAUAUGUUGAAAAUUGUGAAGUUUUACACUUAAACUAUGUACACUUUA